UACGAAGGGGGCUAGCGUUGCUCGGAAUCACUGGGCGUAAAGCGCACGUAGGCGGCUUCUUAAGUCAGGGGUGAAAUCCUGGAGCUCAACUCCAGAACUGCCCUUGAUACUGAGAGGCUAGAGUCCGGGAGAGGGAUGCGGAAUUCCAGGUGUAGCGGUGAAAUGCGUAGGUAUCUGGAGGAACACCGGUGGCGAAGGCGGCAUCCUGGACCGGUAUUGACGCUGAGGCGCGAAAGCUAGGGGAGCAAACGGG
rnacentral:rRNA from 1 species